GUCAUAGCAACGAGGAGCUAGGCAGGUGGAAAAUGGCUCCCACCUAUCUUCCCCAGAAUUCGUGGGGCUGUGUGGGAUGGAGCUGGGGGCUCAAGGCCUUGAGGCCUGGCAGCUAACAGAAUAGAGAAAGGAUGUGACUAUGAAGCAGAGAAGUGAAGAGGAUUUAACACAAACACUGAAAUAUUCCAUACCUCUAAACAUGUACUCCAUACUUUAAAAAGACCUUAUACAAUUCACAUGGAUAUAAUCCAUCCUUCCUUAAUCUGAACCCCAGCUGACUUUGAGCAGCCAAUGCGUACUCUCUAAGCACCCCAGCUAUGAGCUUCAGCAUCCCGAGGCAGCAGCAGUCUUGCAGAGAAUUGGUGGCAGCCUCAAGGCCCUGCCCUGCCCCCAGCCUGGAGGACUCCUGGAGCUGCAAAAUAGCCCUACUGAGGGCCUGCAGGGCAACCUUCCUGAGACUGGAGCCUCCAUCCACUGUGGUGAUAUCCCAAAGGAUACGAGGCCUCACAGCGCUGCACGCUUAUGAGGAUACAACCUUAAUACCACCAAGCAGCAAGUCACUGGGAGGGAUGCAUGUCGGUGUGAGUGCUUGUGUGGUGUAUUGCAAAUACACAAGAUAUGGCAUAUCACCAGCAAAAAUGAGUUAACUUGGAAAUUCCACCUAGGUUGGGCUUUUCUUGGUUCUAUUAAAACAUUUACAUGUUUUUAAAUACAAUCGCAAAAUAACACGCUAGUAGUUUUACUGACAAAUAAAUACCUUGUAAAUACAAGGGUUUCUUA